rfam:Aedes albopictus isolate Foshan contig139702, whole genome shotgun sequence.
AUUUUAGUGGUGUAGUGGUAACGCGCCUGUCUAUUGAGUAGGAGCCGUGAGUUCAAGUAUCCCCAAAGAUU